CCUUCCCAACCUCUCCAUGGCUUCUCCUCUUCCGUUUCUUUUGUUUUUCUCCUUUGGCCUUUCUCUUAACUGCAUCCUUAUUCAGCAGGCAUAAUGCUGAACGCUGCGAUGCUGGAGCACAAGACCAUAAGCUAUCCGCCCUGUACUCAGUACCUGCCUGGGAUCUGUGCCUCUGAGAACAUCUUGCUGUCCUAUGGGCGAGAACUGAUGCAGUAUUGGCUUUGAACUUUCCACUGCAUCCCGGCCUGUGCGCGCUGAAAUUGAAGAAAGUGAACUGCACAUCUGGAUUCCUCUCUCCACCUCUGGAUGGUGUGGGCCAGCCCCCUUGUAGGCCUGCUACUACAGUAGACUGAAUCCCUACUCAUGAGAAAACCUCUUCCCUAAGGGAGCUGCUUUGUCCAGACAUUUGGUCCCAGCAAAGUAACUAAUAUAGAGUUAACUCCCCAUUCAUAAGGGAUUAUCCAGGUAUUCUGUCAGAGCGACGGGAAGUUUGUGGAUACAAUGCCGGGACCCUCACUGUGAGCUUUUGGGUCUCCAUCAGAAGAAGACCACAUGCGGCAGACUGAUGCUGUCUGAUGAAUCUGCUCAGGCAACUCGUGCAGCUGGAAAAUCUGCGAAAGGCAGGAAGGAAUCUGGGGACAAAAAAAUUAAUGCCUGUUGCACAAGCAUCAUGCACUAGAUUCCCACGUUAAAUAAAGAAGAAAAAUCUCACUUGAAC
rnacentral:lncRNA from 1 species